rfam:Egretta garzetta contig95805, whole genome shotgun sequence.
GUCCAAAAUACAGCGAUGUUGUCUUUUCCAAUCACAUUAUCUGAUUGCUCUGUGUGGAAAAUGACUUGCUGAGUGAUUUUUGGAU